CGCGAACGCACCUUCGGGUGUUAUUAGAGUGGCGGACGGGUGAGUAACACGUGGGAACAUGCCUUUCGGUACGGAACAACGCUUGGAAACGAGUGCUAAUACCGUAUACGCCCUUAGGGGGAAAGAUUUAUCGCCGAAAGAUUGGCCCGCGCUAGAUUAGCUAGUUGGUAAGGUAAUGGCUUACCAAGGCGACGAUCUAUAGCUGGUUUGAGAGGAUGAUCAGCCACACUGGGACUGAGACACGGCCCAGACUCCUACGGGAGGCAGCAGUGGGGAAUAUUGGACAAUGGGGGCAACCCUGAUCCAGCGAUGCCGCGUGAGUGAUGAAGGCCUUAGGGUUGUAAAACUCUUUCAGAUGGGAUGAUAAUGACAGUACCAUCAGAAGAAGCUCCGGCUAACUCCGUGCCAGCAGCCGCGGUAAUACGGAGGGAGCUAGCGUUGUUCGGAAUCACUGGGCGUAAAGCGCACGUAGGCGGACUUUUAAGUCAGGGGUGAAAUCCCGGGGCUCAACCCCGGAACUGCCUUUGAUACUGGAAGUCUUGAGACCGAGAGAGGUGAGUGGAACUCCGAGUGUAGAGGUGAAAUUCGUAGAUAUUCGGAAGAACACCAGUGGC
rnacentral:rRNA from 1 species